ACAGAUUGAUGGCGACCGGCGCACGGGUGAGUAACGCGUAUGCAACUUACCUAUCAGAGGGGGAUAGCCCGGCGAAAGUCGGAUUAAUACCCCAUAAAACAGGGGUCCCGCAUGGGAAUAUUUGUUAAAGAUUCAUCGCUGAUAGAUAGGCAUGCGUUCCAUUAGGCAGUUGGCGGGGUAACGGCCCACCAAACCGACGAUGGAUAGGGGUUCUGAGAGGAAGGCCCCCCACAUUGGUACUGAGACACGGACCAAACUCCUACGGGAGGCAGCAGUGAGGAAUAUUGGUCAAUGGCCGAGAGGCUGAACCAGCCAAGUCGCGUGAAGGAAGAAGGAUCUAUGGUUUGUAAACUUCUUUUAUAGGGGAAUAAAGUGGAGGACGUGUCCUUUUUUGUAUGUACCCUAUGAAUAAGCAUCGGCUAACUCCGUGCCAGCAGCCGCGGUAAUACGGAGGAUGCGAGCGUUAUCCGGAUUUAUUGGGUUUAAAGGGUGCGUAGGUGGUGAUUUAAGUCAGCGGUGAAAGUUUGUGGCUCAACCAUAAAAUUGCCGUUGAAACUGGGUUACUUGAGUGUGUUUGAGGUAGGCGGAAUGCGUGGUGUAGCGGUGAAAUGCAUAGAUAUCACGCAGAACUCCGAUUGCGAAGGCAGCUUACUA
rnacentral:rRNA from 1 species